UACGGGGGGAGCAAGCGUUGUUCGGAUUUACUGGGCGUAAAGGGCGCGUAGGCGGUCAGCACAAGUCAGUUGUGAAAUCUCCGGGCUUAACUCGGAAAGGUCAACUGAUACUGUGCGACUAGAGUGCGGAAGGGGCAACUGGAAUUCUCGGUGUAGCGGUGAAAUGUGCAGAUAUCGGGAGGAACACCGGUGGCGAAGGCGGUUCUCUGGGCCUUACCUGACGCUGAGGAGCGAAAGCGUGGGGAGCGAACAGG
rnacentral:rRNA from 1 species